GAUGAACGCUGGCGGCGUGCCUAAUACAUGCAGGUCGAGCGAACAGACGAGGAGCUUGCUCCUCUGACGUUAGCGGCGGACGGGUGAGUAACACGUGGAUAACCUACCUAUAAGACUGGGAUAACUUCGGGAAACCGGAGCUAAUACCGGAUAAUAUAUUGAACCGCAUGGUUCAAUAGCGAAAGACGGUUUUGCUGUCACUUAUAGAUGGAUCCGCGCCGCAUUAGCUAGUUGGUAAGGUAACGGCUUACCAAGGCAACGAUGCGUAGCCGACCUGAGAGGGUGAUCGGCCACACUGGAACUGAGACACGGUCCAGACUCCUACGGGAGGCAGCAGUAGGGAAUCUUCCGCAAUGGGCGAAAGCCUGACGGAGCAACGCCGCGUGAGUGAUGAAGGUCUUCGGAUCGUAAAACUCUGUUAUUAGGGAAGAACAAAUGUGUAAGUAACUAUGCACGUCUUGACGGUACCUAAUCAGAAAGCCACGGCUAACUACGUG
rnacentral:rRNA from 1 species